rnacentral:rRNA from 1 species
UACGUAGGGGGCAAGCGUUGUCCGGAUUUAUUGGGCGUAAAGCGCUCGCAGGUGGUCCGCUGCGUCGUGCGUGAAAGACCCCGGCUCAACUGGGGGAUGUCGUGCGAUACGGGCGGACUGGAGGCCAGUAGGGGGAUGCGGAAUUCCGGGUGUAGUGGUGGAAUGCGUAGAGAUCCGGAGGAACACCAGCGGCGAAGGCGGCAUCCUGGACUGGUACUGACGCUCAUGAGCGAAAGCGUGGGGAGCGAUCCGG